UACGAGGGGUCCUAGCGUUGUUCGGAAUCAUUGGGCGUAAAGAGUAUGUAGGCGGCUAGAUAAGUCAGGUGUGAAAGCCCCGGGCUCAACCCGGGAAGUGCAUUUGAUACUGUCUAGCUUGAAUAUGGAAGAGGGUAGUGGAAUUCCUGGUGUAGUGGUGAAAUACGUAGAUAUCAGGAGGAACACCGGUGGCGAAGGCGGCUACCUGGUCCUAUAUUGACGCUGAGAUACGAAAGCGUGGGGAGCAAACAGG
rnacentral:rRNA from 1 species